rnacentral:rRNA from 1 species
AGUGAACGCUGGCGGUAGGCCUAACACAUGCAAGUCGAACGGCAGCACAGUAAGAGCUUGCUCUUACGGGUGGCGAGUGGCGGACGGGUGAGGAAUGCAUCGGAAUCUACUUUUUCGUAGGGGAUAACGUAGGGAAACUUACGCUAAUACCGCAUACGACCUACGGGUGAAAGCAGGGGAUCUUCGGACCUUGCGCGAUUGAAUGAGCCGAUGUCGGAUUAGCUAGUUGGCGGGGUAAAGGCCCACCAAGGCGACGAUCCGUAGCUGGUCUGAGAGGAUGAUCAGCCACACUGGAACUGAGACACGGUCCAGACUCCUACGGGAGGCAGCAGUGGGGAAUAUUGGACAAUGGGCGCAAGCCUGAUCCAGCCAUACCGCGUGGGUGAAGAAGGCCUUCGGGUUGUAAAGCCCAUUUGUUGGGAAAGAAAAGCAGCAGGUUAAUACCCCGCUGUUCUGACGGUACCCAAAGAAUAAGCACCGGCUAACUUCGUG